AUUAGAAACUCGUCUCAUGAUUAUAUUGACAAUGUGCAAAAUGUCCCAAAAUGAAUAUAGCAAGAAAAUAACUUCAAACACCAUAUCACAGCUACUGAAAUACAUUUUUUGUAAAUUCACAUUGCACUACUAAAACAUGAGUUAAGCAGCACCAAGAGAUGCUAGUAAUGGUUAAGGUGGAUGCUAGAGGUGGUUGUACUUGGCUUUGGUUGGUGCCAAUUUGCAAAGUUUCAACAGUUUCACUUCAGCUAAUCUUAGUGUUAAAGUUGAACCUGGAGAACGUCUUGCUGUUAACAAUAAAAACUCAGGAUUAAUUGUUGGAGUUAUAGUUGGCGUUCUAGUUUUCAUCGCCAUUGUUAUUAUUUUAGUUUUUUUAUUUUAUCG